GUGCUCACUUCGGCAGCACAUAUACUAAAAUUGGAACGAUACAGAGAAGAUUAGCAUGGCCCCUGCACAAGGAUGACACACAAAUUCGUGAAGCGUUCCAUAAAAAA
rnacentral:snRNA from 1 species